AAAAACAGAAAAUGACAAUCAGUUUGACAUAAAAUAUUCUGUAUUUUUUAAAACUCUUAAAUGAUAAAAUUGAGCAUUUCUUGUUUCAAAUGCAAAGUCCUCAAGGGACCAGCCAAGCCCUGCACAUGGAAUGGACAGGGCC